GCUUAUCUAUUGACAAAUGGAAGACUUCAUUAUUUUCACCAUAGCACAUGUCAUUCAUGACAUUUUAAUUUUAAUGGGAAAGCUACAUGCCCAUGUUUUUCUUGGUAGAGAUAAACCUAAAUGAAUCAGCUAAUGGAAGAUUUCCAAAUCCCUUUAAGGAUUUGAUAAAUAAAUGUAUAUAUAUACUUGCAUCAGAGUGAAUUGCAUUUCAGAAUUGAAUUCAGGUGGAGGUUAAGGAAAGGACAGUGAGGUGUCCUUUAAGAUGAAUAAAGUUACAAAAGGUAAUAAAUAAAAUAUAGCAAAACUAACCACUGGAGACAGCUGGGGUUUUUAUCUUCUCGUAAUAAAAUACUUAAUCAAUGAACAUAUGUGAUACUUGAAAAAAUAAUCUUUGGUAAACAGCAGGAUUUUUUUUUUCUCAGAAUCCUGCACUGUUCAGUAUUGUUGAUUAAAAAAAAAAUAAUUCUUUUUCAUUUCAAUCUAAUUGAAUAGCAAUGAAAUGCAUAAGAGUGAGAGUCCUAGGCAAUGAUGGCUCUCUUCACCUACACACCUGAGAAACAUCUCCCUUGCACUGGACAAGGCAGUAGGCUAUGGUUCUGUUCUGCAAGGUCCUUUUCUGUAGAUUACUGUUGCCCUGAAGAAAGCAUGAACCCAGCAAGCAAGCCAGCAUGACAUUCUGGUAAAUGAACACUCGUAUUUGGAUUGAACCCACCACAUGCAUUAUUUAACAAAGCCAGCAGAGAUGAGCUUUCAGACUGUAUUGUCAAACUGAUGAAAUGUCAUUAUACCAUAUGAAGACUGUACAUCAUAGUUACCUUCAUUAACUCAGACAACUCAUUUCUUUAUGAUGGAAAAUGAUCAAAUAAAUAGCUUCAAGGUCCAGCCCAAUGAAAGCCUAAGGAAAACAAGUGUAAUUUCUGUGUCACGGUGCCCACCUUCUCAAGAACAGGAAGGUGUAACAAACCCACUGCAGUGCAGGAGCUACGUCAUCUUGAGAUUCCACAACUGGCUUUUCACCGAGUGCAUUGAAUACCUCAGCAAACAGAUGUAAAGGGACAGAUGAAAAGACAAAGGAAAGAACAGUUGCACUCAGUUUCCUGGUAGGUCUCAUCUCAGGGAUUCCAAGAAUGUCCAUUAAAAUCAAAAGGAAAAAAAUUACUAAGAG
ensembl:lncRNA